GACACGGUCCAAACUCCUACGGGAGGCAGCAGUGAGGAAUAUUGGUCAAUGGGCGAGAGCCUGAACCAGCCAAGUAGCGUGCAGGAAGACGGCCCUAUGGGUUGUAAACUGCUUUUAUAAGGGAAUAAAGUGAGUCUCGUGAGACUUUUUGCAUGUACCUUAUGAAUAAGGACCGGCUAAUUCCGUGCCAGCAGCCGCGGUAAUACGGAAGGUCCGGGCGUUAUCCGGAUUUAUUGGGUUUAAAGGGAGCGUAGGCCGGAGAUUAAGCGUGUUGUGAAAUGUAGAUGCUCAACAUCUGAACUGCAGCGCGAACUGGUUUCCUUGAGUACGCACAAAGUGGGCGGAAUUCGUGGUGUAGCGGUGAAAUGCUUAGAUAUCACGAAGAACUCCGAUUGCGAAGGCAGCUCACUGGAGCGCAACUGACGCUGAAGCUCGAAAGUGCGGGUAUCGAACAGGAUUAGAUACCCUGGUAGUCCGCACGGUAAACGAUGGAUGCCCGCUGUUGGUCUGAAUAGGUCAGCGGCCAAGCGAAAGCAUUAAGCAUCCCACCUGGGGAGUACGCCGGCAACGGUGAAACUCAAAGGAAUUGACGGGGGCCCGCACAAGCGGAGGAACAUGUGGUUUAAUUCGAUGAUACGCGAGGAACCUUACCCGGGCUUGAAUUGCAGAGGAAGGAUUUGGAGACAAUGACGCCCUUCGGGGCCUCUGUGAAGGUGCUGCAUGGUUGUCGUCAGCUCGUGCCGUGAGGUGUCGGCUUAAGUGCCAUAACGAGCGCAACCCCUCUCCUUAGUUGCCAUCAGUUGAAGCUGGGCACUCUGGGGACACUGCCACCGUAAGGUGUGAGGAAGGUGGGGAUGACGUCAAAUCAGCACGGCCCUUACGUCCGGGGCUACACACGUGUUACAAUGGCAGGUACAGAGAGACGGUCCCUUGCAAAACGGAUCAAAUCCUUAAAGCCUGUCUCAGUUCGGACUGGGGUCUGCAACCCGACCCCACGAAGCUGGAUUCGCUAGUAAUCGCGCAUCAGCCAUGGCGCGGUGAAUACGUUCCCGGGCCUUGUACACACCGCCCGUCAAGCCAUGAAAGCCGGGGGCGCCUAAAGUCCGUGACCGUAAGGAGCGGCCUAGGGCGAAACUGGUAAUUGGGGCUAAGUCGUAACAAGGUAGCCGUACCGGAAGGUGCGGCUG
rnacentral:rRNA from 1 species